CUCCUUGCCGACAUAGUAGUAGGAAACCGUGUGGCACAUUUCGACCGUGCCAUUCGAAGUCGCAUCAAGCGCCUGCAAGCCGGGAACGACUUCGCCGGCGGCGAAUACCUGAAUCUGGAACUUGUUGUCGGUCAUUUCGGCGACGUACUUCGAGAGCUGCUCGGCGCCGCCGUAGAUGGUGUCGAGCGACUUCGGGAAGCUGGACGCCAGGCGCCACUUAACUUCAGGCGACGACUGCGCGAUGGCCGGCGAAGCGACCGCAGUGGCGGGGGNAGCAGUUACUUUCAAAAAAUCACGACGCUUCAUUAGGCAUCUCCUUUUGGGGGUGUUUCUU
rnacentral:misc_RNA from 1 species